UGCUAGGACAUUUGUCUUAUAUUUUUUAAAUGUCUUGGAUAUAUGUGCCUUCUGGGGCUCUGUUUCCUUAAAUUCACCCUCUCACUGCAGACGCCAGUUCCUGGAACAGCAACGUGAUCCUCCCAAAGGAGUCAGUUUGCAUGAGGCUCGGCCUGACAUGCCACCUCUUCCCAUUGAGCACUUACGACUCCAGGCCUCUGGCUGCCCACGUGGGGCUCUGCGCUAGAGGGGCUCCAGGGACAGGCAGUUGUUCUAAGCUACGGCUUCUGCUCUACGGAGCAGGGAACGUGAAUGCUGACUUGCAGUUCAGAGGGGCGCCCCGAGGCACCUCAAGGCGCUCAUGGAGCAUCGCACGGGUAACGCCAGUGAGCGCGGUGCUGCGGGGGACACGCCGGUGCUGAGCAGGGCAGAAGAACCGUUCACGUGAAAACGGCAUGAUCCCUGUUUAUCCUACAGAGUCACCCAGAGGACUGGCUACAGAUGCAGACGGAGCGUCCUUCACUGGAGAGACCUCAUCAGACCACAGGUCAAGCCUACAUCCAGCAACCACCUGCCCGACCCUUUGACCAAUUGUUGAAAGCCUUAGAAGACAGAAUCCCCAGCCUUUCCAUGUGCCUCUCUGAGGACGCCCACACUUUCCUUUCUGUAAGGAGGGGCUGCUGGGAGCGCUGGUUUGGGCCUGCGGUUCCCGUCGCCAGGGUGACCCGGACGGGACCGCAGCUUUAGAAUCUGCUCUGGGGUGAGUAGCCUGCCUGAAAAUCUCCAUUCUUCGGGGAGUUCUCAGAACAUACUCUCACUCCACCCAUGCUGCACAGCUCCCCCAAACCCUGGGGUGGUAGGGGCUCGUGUCCACGCCUUUGCAGAUCCACGCGGACACGGGACGCCAGGUGACCCUGGCUUCAGGGCUUGGCAGGGCAGCCUGCCCUAGUUCUCUGCCCUUGCCUGUUGCCAGUUGCCUGCAGGCGGCUGCCCCUCCUUUCUGCUCUCACUGUAAUGAGUUCCUCCCCCACCUGCGCUCGGCCGACCUGCUCGAGAACCUUCCCGCUCAGAGUCAGGGGCCCUCAGCCGCCUGGUGUGCAGGGAGGGGGCUCCCCCGACGCGGCUGCCUGCAGACACGGCGAGGACACUACCGGG